rnacentral:rRNA from 1 species
UCCACCGCUAUACCACCCUAAACGUGCUGAUCUCGUCUGAUCUCGGAAGCUAAGCAGGGUCAGGCCCAGUCAGAACUUGGAUGGAAGAGGGAAUGGAAGGUGCUUGCUGGAA